UUCGUAGGGUGCAAGCGUUGUCCGGAAUUAUUGGGCGUAAAGAGCUCGUAGGCGGUUUGUCGCGUCGAAUGUGAAAACCCGGGGCUCAACCCCGGGCCUGCAUUCGAUACGGGCAGACUAGAGUUCGGUAGGGGAGUCUGGAAUUCCUGGUGUAGCGGUGAAAUGCGCAGAUAUCAGGAGGAACACCGGUGGCGAAGGCGGGACUCUGGGCCGAUACUGACGCUGAGGAGCGAAAGCGUGGGGAGCAAACAGG
rnacentral:rRNA from 1 species